rnacentral:tRNA from 1 species
GGGCCUGUAGCUCAGGUGGUUAGAGCGCUUCUCUGAUAAGGAAGAGGUCCCUGGUUCGAGUCCAGGCAGGCCCACCG